rnacentral:lncRNA from 1 species
CUUAGGUGACAGAGCAAGAUUCUAGUUUUAUUUUGUUGUUGUUGUUUUUUUUUUAAAUAAAUUCUAAAGAAAAUCAUUCAGACUGAAAAGGAAUGAAACUGGAAGAUAGUACUUGAAUCACUACAAAGAAAUAGCAUCAAUAAAGGUAAUUAUAUAGAUAAAUAUAAGAAAUAGUAUAAAUAUACUUUUUACUUUUUUCUUCUCUAAAUGGAGUUAAAAGACAAUUGAAUAAAAACAGUAAUCAUAUAAGUUUAUUUUGGCAUUAUAACAUAUAUAAAUAUAAUUUCUAUUACAAUAAUACAAAGGAGGGGAGAGAAAAUGAUGCUAUAUUGGAACAAAGUUUCUAUAUACUAAAGUUAGUAUUAAUCAAAGCUAGAUUGUUUCAAAUGAGCAUGUAUAUUGCAAUUCCUAGAGCAACCACUAAGAAUAUUACUCAAAAGACUAGUGCUAAAACACCAACAAAGUAAAAUGAUGCAAUUAUAAAAUACAUAUUUAACACAAACGGAGGCUGUAAAGAAGCAAUACAGCAACCAAAAACAUGAGACAUGUAGAACACAGUCAAAUGACAGCUAUAAAUCCAACCAUUAAAUAUAAACCAUAUAAGUCCAACAUUAAAUAUAAAUGGAGUAAACCCUUUAAUCAGAAGUGAAAAAUUAUAACAUUGGAUGAAAAAACAGGAUCCAACUACAUGCUAUCUACCUCUCCUCAUCAGCAAAAUAAGGAGAAAAUCCUAGGAGCAAGCCCUAGGUUACCUAAAAAUUUCUUUGCAUUCUAGAAUUCCUUAAUUCUAUCAAAAACAGUGGUUUUCCUCCAAAAUAGAUUAGCCAACAUCACACUACUCCAAGUGUAGGUCUAAAAGGAAUUGACCAGCCUGGGCAACAUGAAAAAAAAAACAAAAAAAACCUGUCUUUACAAAAAAAAUUCAACAAUUAUCCAGGUGUGGUGAUGUGUACCUGUAGUCCCAGCUAUUUGAGAGGUUGAGGUGGGAGGGUCACUCAAGCCUGGGAGGCAGAGGUUGCAGUGAGCCACUGCACUCCAGCCUAGGGUGGCAGAGCAAGACCCUGUCUCAACAGCAACAAAAAAAGAUAUCCCUAGAAGAUAUCAUUGGUUUCUUCGGGUAUGCCCUAUAUAAAUGGAGAGGAUGAAGUAAAGUUACAAAGUCAUUUAUUUGGUGUAUGCCUCAUGGAGAGGUUAUUUCCUCUCAUAGCUGAAGUGUGAAUCGGCCUUAUGUUCCUUGUCUCCAGACCCUAUUUUCCUGCCUCACCACCACUUACCCAAAGUCAACCAAUCAGUGCUACAGUCUGUUUCCUGGGGGAUCUCCUCAGUUUCGUCCCUUCCUCGUUGCCAGAAAGAUGUUACCCAGAAAGGGGUCCCAAGCCAGACCCCAAGAGAGGGUUCCUGGGUCUCAAGAAAGAAAGAAUUCAGAGUGAGUACAUAAAGUGAAAACAAGUUUAUUAAGAAAGUAGAGGAAUAAAAGAAUGGCUACACCAUAGACAUUGCAGCCCCGAGGGCUCCUGGGUGCCCAUUUUUAUGGUUCCUUCCUUCCUUCCUUCCUUCCUUCCUUCCUUCCUUCCUUCCUUCCUUCCUUUCUUUCUCUUUUUGAGUCAGAGUCUCUCUCUGUCGCCCAGGCUGGAGUGCAGUGGCGCAAUCUCGGCUCAUUGCAACCUCCACCUCCUGAGUUCAUGCCAUUCUCCUGCUUCAGCCUCCCGAGUAGCUGGGACUACAGGCGCCCACCACCACGCCUGGCUAAUUUUUUUUUUUUUUGUAUUUUAGUAGAGACGGGGUUUCACCAUGUUGGCCAGGAUGGUCUCGAUCUCCUGACCUCAUGAUCAACCCGCCACGGCCUCCCAAAGUGCUGGGAUUACAGGCAUGAGCCACUGCGCCCAGGCUUAUUUCUUUAUUAUAUGCUAAACAAAGGGUGGAUUAUCCAUGGUUCCCUUUUUCAGACCAUAUAGGGUAACUUCCUGAUACUGUCAUGGCAUUUGUAAACUGUCAUGGCACUGGUGAGAGUGUAGCAGUGAGGACAACAAGAGGUUACUCUUGUCACCAUCUUGGUUUUGCUGGAUCAAAUGGUAGAUCUACUUUUAGUUCUUUAUAAAUCUUCAUACUGUUUUCCAUAAAGGUUGUACUAAUUUACAUUCCCACCAGCAGUGUAUAAUAAUUCCCCUUUUACCAUCCCCACCAACAUCUAUAAACAUUAAGUUUAUUAAUAGCUGUAUGUUUUUAGUAGAUGAUCUUUAUCAAUUUGAAGCAGUUCCCUUCUAUUCCUGUUUUCCUGAAAGUUUUUUUUUAUUAUCAUGAAUGAGUGUUAAAUUUUGUCAAAUUUGUUUCUGCUUUGAUUAAUAUGAUCAUGUAACUUUUCUUGUUUAGCUUGUUAUUAUGGGGUAGUUAACCCAUUGGCUUUUUUUUUGGAGACAGGGUCUGGAGUGCAGUCAUAUGAUCAUAGCUCACUGUAACCUAGAACUCCUGGGCUCAAGCAAUUUUUCUGCCUCAGCCUCCUGAGUAGCUGGGGUUACAGGCACACACCACCAUACCUGGCUAUUUUUUUUUAUUCUUUCAUAGAGUUAAGGUCUUGCUAAGUUUCCCAGGCUGUUCUUGAACCCCUGACCUCAAGUGAUCCUCCCACUUCGGCCUCCCAUAGUGGUGGUAUCACAGGUGUGAGCCACUGCACCCAGCCCCAUUGACUUUUUUUUUUCUUUUUUUUUUUUUUUUUUUGAGACAGUGUCUCACUCUGUCACCCAGGCUGGAGUGCAGUGGCACGAUCUCGGCUCACUGCAACCUCUGCCUCCCAGGUUCAAGUGAUUCUCCUGCCUCAGCCUCCUGAGUAGCUGGGAUUACAGACAUCCACUACCACGCCUGGCUAAUUUUUGUAUUUUUAGUAGAGACGGGGUUUUACCAUGUUGGUCAGGCUGGUCUUAACUCCUGACUUCGUGAUCUGCCCGCCUCGGCCUCCCAAAGUUCUGGGAUUACAGGCGUGAGCCACUGCGCCCGGCCUGCCCCAUUGACUUUUAAUGUAAUUCUGAUAUGUUAGGACUUAUGUCUGCCAUUUUAUUUUUUUUCUGCAUAUUCUAUUUGUCUUUUUCUGCCUUCCUGUGGGUUAUGUCAACUUUUUUUUUUUUUUUAGAAUUCUAUUUUGUUUUAUCUAUAGUGUUUGUGAGUACAUCUCUUUAUGCAGCUUUUUAAAGUGAUUGCUCUAGGCAUUACAUUACAUUACACACACACACACAGAUUUGCCUCUUGCAAAAUAUAUAUUUGUUGAUUUUCUUAAUUCGAAUAAAAUAUUAGGUAGUGUCCUUGAAAAUUGGGAAAUUUGUGUCAGCUGAUCAAACUUCAGAGAAAGAUCUCCUUAUAUUUAGGGUUGUCUCUCACAUCAAGAAAAAUAUAAACUGGCUGCAAGGUCAAGAUAUAUUUUGGGCCAUUGGAAUCGGCAUCCCCAAAGGUGUUGCUGUGAGGACUGAACAAGGGUGGAAUGCUAAAUAUUUAACAUUAGGAAGGCCAAGCAAUAGUUAAGCAUAACAAAUAUCAGCCAUGGUGCUGGAGCAAGGUCAUAAAGGUCCCCUGCUUGGCUCAUUAAGUUGCUAUUUUGUAGGGAAGUCCAGGGGGCGCCUGGCAGGAAGAGGCACAGGGCUGCCAAGGUUGCUUUGGGUAAUGGCUGUUUUACCAACGAGAACAGAGAAAAUCCAAUAUGUACUAUGAUGGCACAGGCCUUAUAUUGAAAAAUAUUAUUGUAGGUAAAAUGCUUAGCACAAAGCCUGGCACUUAGUUAAGUGCUCAGUUAAUGGCCAUUCUUAUUCUACUACUUCCUCCUUUCCCUUCCCGCUCCUCUUCCUCCUUCUUGUUUUUGUUCACUAUAUUGCAUUACCCAAAAACAAAUAUCUGGCCUACAAUGUUGAGUAUAAAGUUUCUUUUCUGUCAAAAUUUUUGGCCCUUCAUGAAGCUAUAUCAGAGGUUCCUCAACUUUCUUGGGUCUCUUUGUGUCUCAGCAACUAUUUUAUGCUCUAGGCCAAAAGAAAUACUCAAUUGUUCUAUUUAUUAAAUACAUAGAUCCAAACAACCCACUACUGGGUAUCUAUCCAAAGGAAAAGAAGUCAUUAUAUAAAAAAGACACCUACACUCAUAUGUUUAUCACGGCCCAAUUCACAAUUGCAAAGAUACAGAAUCAACCUAAAUACCCAUCCAUGAGUGGAUAAAGAAAAUGUGAGAUAUAUAUGGAUAGAUAGAUAGAGAGAGGGACAGAUAGAUGAUCCAGAUAUAGAUAUAUAAUGGAAUACUACUACUCAGGCAUUAAAAAGAACAAAAUAGUGUCUUUUGUGCAACUUGGAUAGAACGGGGGGCAAUUAUCCUAAGUGAAGUAACUCAGGAAUGGAAAAUAAAAUACCAUGUGUUCUCACUUAUAAGUGGGACCUAAGCUGUGGGUAUGCAAAGGCAUACAGAGUGGUAUAAUGGACAUUGGAGUCUCAGAAGGGGAUAGGGUGGGAGAGGACUAAGGGAUGAAUAACCAUCUAGUGGGUAUAAUAUACACCAUUUGGGUGAUGUGUACACUAAAAUCACAGACUUCACCACUAUAUAAUUCAACCUUGUAACCAAAAAUAACUUGUACUACUAAAGCUAUUGAAACUAAAAAUAAUUUUUUUAAAGAAAAAUGGCACAGAAAAUAGAGUUUCCAAGACAGCCAGAGCAAGAUAGCUGAACAGAAGCCUGCAUUGAUUGUCCUCCCUAGAGGAACACCAAACUUAACAACUAUCCACACAAAAAAGCACCUUCAUAAGAAUGAAGCAUUAGGUAAGUGAGCACAGUAAUUGGUUUGACUUCAUAUUAGUGAAAGAGGAACUGAAGAGGGUAGGAAAGAAAGUCUUGAACUGCUGAUGCCACCCUUCUCCCAUCCCCUGGCAGUGACCACAUGAUGCAGAGAGGAAAUCUGCACUUGGGGAAGGGAAAGCACCGUAAUUGUGGGAUCUUUGCAUUGAAACUUAGUGCUUCCCUGUCACAGUAGAAAGUCAUACUGGGCAGAAAUCUGCUGGUGCCCACACAGAAAGUAUUUAGACCAGCUAUGCCAGAGGCAAAUCAUCCAUCCCAGUGUUUGGAACCUGAGUUCUGGCAAGUCUUGCCACCAUGGGCUAAAGUGCUAUGGGUCCUAAAUAAAUUUGAAAGUCAGUCUAGGCUUCAAGAACUGCAAUUACUGGACAAGUCCUGGUGCUGUGUUGGGCUCAGAGCCAGUGGACUUGGGGGGCAGGAGACCUAGUGAGACACCGGCCAAGGCAGCCAAGGGAAUGCCUGUGCCAUCCUCCUCCAAACACAAGCAGUGCAGCUGGCAGCUCUGGGAGAGACUUCUUUCUUCUGCUUGAAAAGAGGGGAGAAAAGAGUAAAAAAAAAAACAAAAACCUAAAAGCUACAAGAGAAAAGAAACAGAUAAUAUACAAUGGAGCUCCAAUAUGUGUCUGGUAGCAGACUUCUCAGCAAAAACCUUAUAGGCCAGCAGAAAGUAGCAUGACAUAUUUAAAGGGCUGAAGGAAAAUAACUUUUAUUCCAGAAUAGUAUAUCCAGCAAAAAUAUCUUUCAAACAUGAAGGAGAAAUGAAGACUUUCCCAGACAAACAAAAGAUGCAGGAUUUCAUCAUCACCAGGCCUGUCCUACAAGAAAUGCUAAAGUUCUUCAGUCCAAAAGAAGAGGAUGUUAAUGAACAAUAAAUCUCUGAAGGUACAAAACUCACUGGUAGUAGUAAAUACACAGAAAAACACAGACUGUUAUGACUGUAAUUGCAGUGUGUAAACUACUCAUAUCUUCAAUAGAAAGACUAAAAGAUAAACUGAUCAAAAAUAAUAACUAAAAUAAUGUAUUAGUCCAUUCUUACACGGCUCUAAAGAAAUGCCUGAGACUGGGUAAUUUACAAAGAAAAAGAGGUUUAAUUGGCUCACAGUUCCACAGGUUUUGGAGCAAGAGGAAGAGAGAGUGGGGGAGGUGCCAUACACUUUAAACAACCAGAUCUCGUGAGAACUCUAUCACAAGAACAGCACCAAAUGGGGAAGUCUGCCCCGAUGAUCUAAUCACCUCCCACCAGGCCCCUCCUCCAACAUUGGGGAUUACAAUUUGACAUGAAAUUGGGCAGGAACAUAAAUCCAAACCAUGUCAAAUAACUUUUUAAGACAUAGACAGUACAAAAAGAUGUAAAUAGAAACAACAAAAAGUUAAAAAGUUGGGGGAUGAAGUUAAAGUGUUGAGUUUUCAUUAGUAUGCUCUUGCCUUGUUAGUUCUUUUUGUUGUUUAUGUAAUUAGUGUUGAGUUGUCAUUAGUUUAAAAUAAUGGAUUAUGAGAUAUUUGCAAGUAUCAUUGCAUACCACCAGAGAAAAUUACCUUCAGUAAAAGGAAGACAGGGAGAAAGGAAAGAAGGAAGAGCAGGCCACAAACCAGAAAACAAAUAACAAGAUGACAGUAAUAAAUUCUUAUCAAUAAUAACAUUGAAUGUAACUGGACUAAACUCUCCAAUCAGAAGACAUAGAGUGGCUGAACUGAUUUAAAAAAAAAAAAAGAAAAAAAACCCAAGACCUAGAAUAUGUCACCUACAAGAAACACAUUUUACCUAUAAAAACAUACAUAGACUGGCUAUAAAGUGAUGGAAAAAGAUAUACCAUGCCAGUGAAAACCAAAAAAGAGAAGGAGUAGCUAGACUUAUGUCAGACAAAAUACAUUUCAAGACAAAAACUAUAAAAAGAGACCAAGAAGGUAAUUAUAAAAUGAUAAAAGGGUCAAUUCAGCAAGAGGAUAUAACAAUUGAAAAUACAUAUGCACCCAAUAUUGGAGCACCUAGAAAUAUAAAGCAAAUAUCGUUAUAGAUAAAGAGAGAUCUAGACUUCAAUACAAUAAUAGCUGGAGAGUUCAACACUCCACUUUCAGCAUUGGACAGACCAACCAGACAGAAAAUGAAAAGAGGAACAUCAGACUUAAUCUUAUUAGGCCAAAUGGACCUAAUAAACAUCUACAGAACAUUUCAUCCCAUGGCUGCAAAAUAAACAUUCUUCUAAGCACAUGGAUCAUUAUUAAUGAUAGGCUAUAUGUUAGGCCACUAAACCAGUCUUUAAACAUCAAAAAAUAUUGAAAUUAUGUCAAGUAUAUUCUCUGACCACAAUGGAAUUAAACUAGAAAUCAAUAACAAGAGGAAUUUUGGAAACUAUACAAACACACAGAAAUUAAACAAUAUACACUUGAAUGACCAGUAGGUCAAUGAAGAAAUUAAGAAGAAAAUUUAAAAAUUUAUUGAAACAAAUAAUAAUGGAAACAUAACAUACCAAAACCUGUAGGAUAUAGGAAAAGCAGUACUAAGUGGAAAGUUGGUAGCUAUAAGUGCCUACAUCAAAAAAGUAGGAAAACUUCAAAUAAAAAAAUGAUUUAUCUUAAAGAACUAGAAAAGCAAGAGCAAACGAAACCCAAAAUUAGUAGGGAAAAUAUUAAAAAAGAUAAAAACAGAACUAAAUAAAAUUGAAACAAAGAAUACAAAAGAUCCACAAAAUGUAAAGUUGGUGUUUUGAAAAGAGAAAGUCAAACCUUUAGUCAGACUUAAAAAAAGAGAGAGAGAAGAUCUAAAUAAAUAAAAUUAGAAAUUAAAAAAGGGACAUUAAAACUAAUACCACAGAAAUUAGGAGGAUUAUUAGAGGCUAUUGGUUAUUCAAGUGUAUAUUGGGAGCAGUAGCCUCUAAUAAAUUGGAAAAACCAAUAUAUUGGAAAAACCUAGAAGAAAUGGAUAAAUUCCUUAACACUACAGCCUACCAAGAUUUAACUAUGAAAAAAUUCAAAACCCGAACAGAGCAAUAACAAGUAACAAGAUCAAAGCUGUAAUAAAGUCUCCCAGCAAAGGAAAGCCUGGGCCCUGAUGGGUUUUCUGCUGAAUUUUACCAAACAUUUAAAGAAGAAUGAAUAGAAGUUCUAUUCAAACUAUUCCAAAAAAAUAGGUGAGGAGUAAAUACUUACAAACUUAUUCUAUGAGGCUAGUAUUACCCUGAUACCAAAAUCAGACAAAGACAUAUCAAAAAGAGAAAACUACAGGCCGAUAUCCCUAAUGAACAUUGAUGCAAAAAUCCUUAACCAAGUACUAGCAAACUGAAUUUAAGAAUACAUUUAAAAGAUCAUUUUUUGUGACCAAAUGGGAUUUAUCCCAGGGAUGCAAGAAUGGUUCAAAAAAUGCAAAUUAAUCAAUGUGAUACAUCUUAUCAACAGCAUGAAGAACAAAAACCAAAUGAUCAUUAAACUAGAAAUUAAUAACAAGAGCAAUUUUGGAAAAUAUACAAACACAUGGAAAUUAAUGCACUUGAAUGAACAGUAGGUCAAUGAAGAAAUCAAGAUGAUAAAAAAAUUAAGAAGCUAAAAACCUUCUGAAUAUAGAACAAACAUAACUCAACACAACAAAAGCCACAUAUGACAGACUCACAGCUAGUAUCAUACUGAAGGGGGAAAAACUGAAAGCCUUUCCUCUGAGAUCUGGAACAUAACAAGGAUGCCAACUGUCACCACUGUUAUUCAACAUAGUACUGGAUGUCCUAGCUACAGCAAUUAGAAAAGAUAAAGAAAUAAAGGACAUCCAAAUUGGAAAGGGAUGGAAACAAGAAUAACAAAUUAUUCUUGUUUGCAGAUGGUAUGAUCUUAUAUUUGGAAAGACCUAAAGACUCCACCAAGAAACUAUUAGAACUGAUAAGCAAAUUCAGUAAAGUUGCAGGAUACAAAAUCAACAUAUAAAAAUUAGUAGCAGUUCUAUAUGCCAAAAGUAAACCAUCUGAAAAAGAAAUCAGGAAACUAAUCUCACUUACAAUAGCUACAAAUAAAAUGAAAUACUUAAGAAUUAACUUGACCAAAGAAGUGAAAGAUCUCUACUUUGAAAACUACAAGGGGGUUUUCAAGAUGGCUGACUAGAAGCAGCUGGUGUGUGUGGCUCUCAUGGAGAGUGAUAUGGUUUGGCUGUGUCCUUAUUCAAAUUUCAAUUUGAAUUGUAUCUCCCAGAAUUCCCAUGUGUUGUGGGAGGAACCCAGGGGGAAGUAAUUGAAUCACAGGAGCCAAUCUUUCCUAUGCUAUUCUCGUGAUAGUGAAUAAGUCUCAUGAGAAUUGAUGGGUUUAUCAGAGGCUUCUGCUUUUGCUUCCUCCUCAUUUUUCUCUUGCCACCUCCAUGUAAGAAGUGCCUUUUGCCUCCCUCCAUGAUUCUGAGGCCUCCCCAGCCAUGUGGAACUGUAAAUCCAAUUAAACCUCUUUUUCUUCCCAGUCUUGGAUAUGUCUUUAUCAGCAGCAUGAAAACAAACUAAUACAGAGAAGAAUGGAACAGGCAAAUAAAUACAGCACCUUCAACUAAAACAUCCAGGUAUAUGCAUCAGGACUAAUCAACGAAACAACUCAACCCAUGGAGCAAGGCAGGAUGAUGGCCCGCAUGGGAGAGAUACUGAGCCAGGGGACCCUCCCCAACUCAGGAAAGCAGUGAGUGAAUGUGUAACCCUGGGAACCCACACUUCUCCCAUGGAUCUUUACAACCCUUGGGUUGAACUCACUCCACCAGGACCUUCAGUCUGACACAAAGAGCUAUGUGGAGUCUUGGCAGAGCAGCCACUCAGGCACAUGAACAGAUCUGGGAGCCUUGGAUACCUGGGCUUUCCAGGAUUCACAGCAAAAGUAACUGCAAUGUCAGCAAAGUGAGAGGUUAGACCCCUGUACACAUCCCUAGGAAAAUGGUUGAAUCCACAGGGCUGAGCAGCAUAGUCUGCAGGUACCUCAUAGGAGAAGACCCACUAAAUUGGAACUCCAACCAGCCACUGAUAGCACUGUUGCACUUCACUGAGACAGAGCUCCUAGCAGGGAGGGGUGGCCUGCCAUCUUUGCCAUUUGGCCAACUUAGUGGUUGCAGCCUUCGGGCUUUGGAGAGUCCAAGCCAACUGGAGGCUGAAGUGGUCCCCCAGCACAGCAUAGCUGUGCUACAAAAACAUGGCCAGAUUGCUUUUUUAAACGUGUCCCAAUCCCAUUCUUCCUCACUGGGCAGGACCUCCAACCAGGGUCUUGAGCCACCCCUACUGGUAGUUUCUGGCUGAUAGAGAUUUAAAACCUCCCUGGGAUGGAGCUCCCAGAGGGAGAGGUGGGCUGCCAUCUUUGCUCUUUGGACAAUUAGCCAUUCCAGCCUUCAGGGUUUAGAGAGUCCCGGCCACCUGGGGGAUGAAAGUGGUCCCCCAGCAGAGCAUAGCUGCUCUGCAAAAACAUGGCCAGACUGCUUUUUAAAGCAGGUGUCCAAUCCCAUUCCUCCUCACUAAGUGGGACCUCCCAACCAGGGUCUCCAGCUACCCUCACCAGUGCUCUCCAGCUGACAGAGAUUUAAAGCCUCCCUGGAAUGCAGUUCCCAAAGGGAGGGCCAGGCUGCCAUCUUUCCUGUUUGGGUUACUUAACCAUUCUGGCCUUCAGGCUUAGGAGAAUCUGAGGUGACCAGGGGCAGUAGCAGACCCCAAGCAUAGCACAGCUGCCCUACAAAAAUGUGACCAGACUGCUUUUUAAAGUGGGUCCCCAAUCCUGUUUCUCCUCACUGGGUGGGAACUCCCAACUGGAGUCUCCAGCCACAUCCUACAGGUACAUUCAGGCUGGCAAUAGGUCUGUACCUCCCUGGGACAAAGCUCCCAGAGGGAGGGGCAGGCCACCAUAUUUGCUGUUUCACAGCCUUCACUGUUGAUACCUCCAGGUACUGGAAAAUCCAAGGUGACUAGGGACUGGAGUGGGCUCCCAGCACACUGCAGCAGCCCUAUAAAAAAGUGGCCAGAUGGUUAUGUGGAUCCCCAUUUCCAUAUCUCCUCACUGGGCAGGUCCUCCAGGCCUUGGCCUCCAGCCAUCCACCACCAGAGCUAUCAAGCCAGUAGCAGCCCUGCAACUCCCUGAACAAAGCCCCCAGGGAAAAUGAAAGCCUCUCUGUCACUGCUUCUGCAGUGGAACUGCCCUUGCUACCCUCGUACUAACAAAGGAGCAAAGACCCUAAGGCCUUAUCCACAACUCCAACAAGCUGCAGUAGACCCAAGAAGAGGAGGCCAGUCUGUCUCCUACAGGACUCAUCCAGCCUCCCUGCUCAUCACCAGACAGGAGGUCUCCAGCGUGGGCCCACAGCACAGACCUUCCAUCCUGGGCUGAUUGCACUGAGCAACUGCUGACCUACAUAUUUCUGGGUGGAGCCCCCAGGAGACAAGCAAAAUACCCUUGGCCAUAACUGCUACUAAGAAUCCUUCCUCUGCUGCCUCCAAGUUGGGGAACACUGCAACUCCAAGUUGGGGAGCAUAAACACUGAAAUUGCCCCAGAGCUUCAGUGGGCAGCCCAGGAGUGCCAAGCUGUGAUCUACAGCCAGCAUUUAAGCGGGAGAGGGACCCACCCUUUCAGAGCAUUGAGAGAGAACAUGGCUGCAACUGUGAGGAAACAAUGAGGAGUGCAGUUGUGAUUCACAGAUUUGGCCUCUUUACAUAAUUCAUACUUCUUGGAGGUUUUUCGGGGAGCCAUACAACUGAGCAAGAGUCUAUCAACUGACCAAUACAUGUAAGUGCCACCUACUGGAUCACAACCCAAAACUUCAACACCCCAAAUACCUCGCUUACAUACCCCACUCUGAAACCAAAGACAAGAAGUCAGCUUCAAAUAAAGAACCUGCACAAAGUCUUGGCUCUGUGAAAACAUACAGAAAAGAGGUCUAUUGACUCAAUCUACACUGCAGUUAAAGGAACAUCCACAUGCAGAGAUGAGAAAGAACCAACACAAGAACUCCAGUAACUCUCAUGGCCAGAGUGUCAUAUGUCCUUCAAACAACUGCACCAGUUUGCCAACAAAAGUUCUUGACCAAGCCAAGCUGGCUGAAAUGAUAGAAAUAGAAUUCAGAAUAUGGAUAGGAAUGAAGAUCAUCGAGAAUCAGGAGAAUGGCAAAACCCAAUCCAAGGAAACUAAGAAUCACAAUAAAAUAAUACAGGAGCUGAAGGACAAAAGAGCUGAUAUAAAAAAGAACCUAAUGGAUCUGACACAGCUGAAUAACACAAAUACAAGAAUUUCACAAUGCAGUUACAAGUAUUAACAGCAGAAUAAACCAAGCUGAGGAAAGAAUCUCAGAACUUGAAAACUGGGUCUCUGAAAUAAGGCAGUCAGACAAAAAUAAAUAAAAUUAAAGAAUAAAAAUGGAUGUUCAAAACCUCCAAGAAGUAUGAAAUUAUGUAAAGAGGCCAAAUCUAUUAAUCACUGGCAUCUCUGAAAGAGAGGGUGAGAAAGUAAGCAACUUGGAAAACAUAUUUUAGGAUAUCUUCCAUGAAAACUUCCCCAACCUUGCUAGAGAGGCCAACAGUCAAAUUCAGAAAAUACAAGAACUCCUGCAAGAUUUUACACAAGAAGAUCAUCCCCAAGACACAUAGUUGUCAGAUUUUCCAAGGUUGAAAUGAAAGAAAGAAUGUUGAAGGCAGCUAGAGAGAAAGGGCAAGUCACCUACAAAGGAAACCCCAUCAGGCUGACAGUAGACCUUUCAGCUGAAACCCUAUAAACCAGAAGAGAUUAGGGGCCUAUAUUCAAUAUUCUUAAAGAAAAAAUAUAUUCAACCAGGAAUUUCAUAUCUAGCCAAACUAAGCUUCCUAAGCAAAGGAGAAAUAAGAUCCUUUUCAGAUAAGCAAAUGUCGAGGGACCUGCCUUUCAAGAGAUCUUGAAGGGAUCACUAAAUAUUGAAAGGAAAUAGUGCUACCAGCUAAAACAGAAACACAUUUAAAUACGCAGACCAGUGGCACUAUAGAGCAACCACAUGAAUAAUCCAGCAUAAUAACCAGCUAACAACACGACAGGAUCAAAUCCACACAUAUUAAUACUAACCUUAAAUGUAAAUGUGCUAAAUGCCCCACUUAAAAGACACAGAGCAGUAAGCUGGAUAAAAAAGUAAGACCCAAUGGUAUGCUGUCUUUGAGAGACCCAUUGGACACAUAAUGACACCCAUAGGUUCAAAAUGAAGGGAUGGGGAAAAAUUUACUAAGCAAAUGGAAUACAGAAAAAAGCAGGAGUUGCAAUCCUGAUUUCAGACAAAACAGACUACAAACCAACAAAGAUCAAAAAAGACAAAGAAGGGCAUUACAUAAUGCUAAAGAGUUCAAUUCAACAAGAAGACCUAACUAUCCUAAAUAUGUAUGCACCCAACACAGGAGUACCCAGAUUCAUGAAGCAAGUUCUUAGAGACCUACAAAAAGAUAUAGACUUCCACACAGUAAUAGUGGGAGACUUCAACACUCUACUGACAGUAUUAGACAGAUCAUCGAGGUAGAAAAUUAACAAAGAUAUUCAGGACCUGAACUCAACAUUGGACCAAAUGGAACUGAUAGACCUCUACAGAACUCUCCAACAAAAAACAACAGAGUAUAAAUUCUUCUCAUCACCACAUGUCACAUGCUAUAAAAUCAACCACAUAAUUGAACAUAAAACAAUCCUCAGAAAUGCAAAAGAACAAACAUCAUACCAAACACACUCUCAGACAACACUGCAAUAAAAAUAGAAGUCAAGACUAAGAAUCACUCAAAACCAUGCAAUUACAUGGAAAUGAAACAACAUGCUCCUGAAUGACUUUUGGGUAAAUAAUGAAAUUAAGGCAGAAAUCAAUACGUUCUUUGAAACUAAUGAGAACAAAGAUACAACAUACCAGAAUAUCUGAGGCACAGCUAAGGCAGUGUUAAGAAGGAAAUUCAUAGCUUAACCUGAAGGAAAUCAAGACACAAAACAUGAUCUCAGAACUUGAAGGUAGGCUCUCUGAAAUAUGACAGUCAAAAAAAAAAAUAAAUAAAAUUUAAGAAAAGAAUAAAAAGAAAUGAACAAAACCUCUGAGAAGUAUGGAAUUAUGUAAAGAGGUCUAAUCUAUGAAUUACUGGCAUCUCUGAAAAAGAAGAGAAUUCAUUCAAAAGUUCAACUAAUGCAAGAGUUGGUUUUUUGAAAAAAAAAUAAGAUAGGCUGCUAGCUAGACUAAUGAAGAAAAUAGAGAAGAUGCAAAUAAACACAAUUAGAAAUGAUGAAGGAAACGUUACCACUGACCCCAUAGAAAUAAAAAAUAACCAUCGGAAACUACUAUGAACACCUCUAUGCACACCAACUGGAAAAUCUAAAAGAGAUGGAUCCAUUUCUGGACACAUACACCCUCCCAAGACUGAACCAGGAAGAAGUUGAUUCCCUGAAUGACCAAUAUCUAGCUCUGAAAUUGCAUCAGUAAUAAAUACUCUAUCAACCAAAAAAAGCCUAGUACCUGAUGGAUUCCCAGCCAAAUUCUACCAGAUGUACAAAGAAGAACUAGUACCAUUCCUACUGAAACUAUUCCAAAAAUUUGAAGAGAAGGGACUCCUCCCCAAUACAUUCUAUGAGGCCAGCAUCACCCUGAUACCAAAACCUCGCAGAGACAACAUUGUACUGAAUGGGCAAAAGCUGGAAGCAUUUCUCUUGAUAGCUGGCAUAAGACAAGGGUGCCUUCUCUCAUCCCUCCUAUUCAACCUGGGGAUGGUUAAUGGGUAUAAAAAUAUAGUUAGGAUGAAUAAGAUCUAGCAUUUGAUAGCAAAACAGAGCAACUAUAGUCAACAAUAAUUUAUGGUACAUUUCAGAAUAUCUAAAAUGGUAAAAUUGGAUUGUUUGUAAAACAACAAAAGGAUAAAUACUUAAGGUGAUGGAUACCAUAUUUACCCUAAUUUGAUUUUUAUACAUUGAAUGUCUGUAUCAAAAUAUCUCAUGUAUUCCAUAAAUAUACACCUACCAUGCACCACAAAAAUUAAAAAUAAAUUUUAAAAUAAUAAUAAAAAAGAAAGUAGAGUUUCCAUAAACCCCCAUUCCCUCCCUGCCCCACCCCUAGUUUCUUCUGUUAUUAACAUCUUGUAUUAGGGUUGCACAUAAUAUUAUAAUUAACUAAUCAAUAUUGAUACAUAAUUAUUAACCAAAAUCCAUAGUUUACAUUAGGAUUCACUCUUUGUGUUGUAUAGUUCUAUGGGUUUUGACAAAUGUGGGAAUGUCAUAUAUCCACCAUUACAGUAUCAUACAGAAGACUUUCUUUGCCCUAAAAAUGACCUGUGCUCCACCUAUUCAUCUCUCCCCCUACCCUAAAAUCUUGGCAACCAGUGAAUUUUUACAGUUUCUAAGUUUCACCUCACCCAGCCUGUCAUAUAGUUGAGAUCAUACAGGAUGUAGCUUUCUCAGACUGCUAUUUUUCACUUAGCAAUAUACAUUCCUUCAUGUCUUUUCAUGGCUUGAUACUUCAUUUCUCUUUUUUCUUUUCUUUUUUUAUAGAGACAGGGGGUCUCACUAUGUUGCCAGGGGUGGUCUCAAACUCCUGGGUUCAAGCAAUCAUCCUGCCUUGGCCUCCCAAAGUUCUGGGAUUACAGACGUGAGUCACUGCAUACGGUCUCAUUUCUUUUCAUCACUGAGAAAUAUGCUAUUGUAUAGAUGUACCAUAGUUUGUUUAUACAUUCACCCAUUGAAGAACAUCUUGGUUGCCUUUAACUUUUGGUAAUUAUGAAUAAAGCUGCUAUAAACAUUCUUAUGGAGGUUUUUGUGUAAACGCACAUUUUCAGUUCAUUUGGGUAAAUGCCUAGGAGCAGAAUUUCUCUAUCAUAUGGUAAGCCUAUGUUUAGCUUUGUAAGAAACUACCACAGUUAUCUUCCAAAGUGCUAUACAAUUUUACAUUCUCCUGAACAGUGAAUGAGGGUUCCAGUUGCUCCACAUGCUCACCAGCAUUUGGUGUUCUCAGUGUUUCAGAUUUUAGCCGUUCUAAUAGGUGUGUAGAAGUAUCUUGUUUUAAUUUUCAGUGCUUUAAUGGCAUAUAAUAUUGAGCAUGUUUUCAUAGGCUUAUUUUCCUAUUUUAGAUCUUAUUUGCUAUUUGCAUAUCUUCUUUGGUGAAUUUGCCAUCUAUACAGCUAUUUUGUCCAUUUUAAAGUUGGGUUGGUUGUUUACUUAUUGUGAGUUUGAAGAGUUUUUUGUAUAUUUUGGAUACAUGUCAUUUAUCAGAUAUGUAUUCUGCAAAUAGUUCCAUCCAGUCUGUGGCUGUGUUCGUUUUAAACAAAUAAAGCUUAAUAACAUGUGUACCUUAUGUAUAUGUGGGAGAUACUCACAAAAAUGAGUAUAUCUCAGAGGUGGCUUUGAAUUCCAGCUUAUGUAGCAUCUUCAACAAACAAUAGCAAAUUUAGAGAAAUGACAAGACAAAGGAAAAAGACUUUGAGUCUCUAAGGGUGGCAAAUUAUAGAAAGGCAAAUAAAUGGUAGAUACAGACUAGUUAAUAAAGCUCAGUACCUAGGUUCCUCUGGUGCUGAUCCCCAGGCUGGUAAGGGGCUGUCCUUCCUGGUAGAAAGGGGAGGAGGGACAGACACAUUGGUGAAUUUAUGUCCUGCUUUUAGGCAAAUAGUGGAAGAGCAGAGAACUCUUCUUAUAUCUGCUUUUUCCCACUUGUCUUCAGCUCAAAAUAAUCCUUAUGCCAAAGUGGCAUAUUCUAGUCACUUACAGUCCUCCCUUUGAACUUUAUUUUUGGAAAGUUUCACAUAUUAAAAGCUGAAUUCGCAGCCCCAUAUCUUAUGGAGCCAGUCUCUUAGUCCUGAGUUCAGUUAAACUCAGGUCAACUGAGUUAGAAAGUUGUGUGUCAUUUCAGGUGGCAGUGUUGCAGGUGGGUUCCCAUCAAAGUUAGGCCUCUGUAUGGUGCAAGCAAACAAGUAUUUAAGUAGAGUCAUUCUAUGGACACAAAAAAACUAAAGGUUAAUCACUGGAAAAAAAUGAUAAAUCAGCUUCUGAGUCCAUAAGGCAGUCACGUGGAGAGUUCUAGAUUUGAUCUCAAAGCCUCUUAGAUGGUGGAAUGAGGAUGGCAGUUUAAAUCUAAUGGGUUUUCCUGGUUUGUGGUUUGACUAUCUCUGGUGAUAUCAUAGCAUGUUCUAGUGAACUUUCUGAGUGGCCCACACAGCAACAGACAUCAAGGUUGUCUGUAUUUGAGCUUUUGUGGUGAUUUAUCUGAAAUUUAUAUCAAGUCAUCCAGCUUUAGCUUUCAGAACUUUAGGAAAAGGGCAGUCAGCUGUUAACGGUUUUAAGUCAGAAAGGUGGGAGACAAUUGGAAAUGCUAGCUUGGAGAGUUGUAGUCAG